rnacentral:rRNA from 1 species
CAGGUGGUCAGGUAGAGAAUACCAAGGCGCUUGAGAGAACUCGGGUGAAGGAACUAGGCAAAAUGGUGCCGUAACUUCGGGAGAAGGCACGCUGAUAUGUAGGUGAAGUCCCUCGCGGAUGGAGCUGAAAUCAGUCGAAGAUACCAGCUGGCUGCAACUGUUUAUUAAAAACACAGCACUGUGCAAACACGAAAGUGGACGUAUACGGUGUGACGCCUGCCCGGUGCCGGAAGGUUAAUUGAUGGGGUCAGCGCAAGCGAAGCUCUUGAUCGAAGCCCCGGUAAACGGCGGCCGUAACUAUAACGGUCCUAAGGUAGCGAAAUUCCUUGUCGGGUAAGUUCCGACCUGCACGAAUGGCGUAAUGAUGGCCAGGCUGUCUCCACCCGAGACUCAGUGAAAUUGAACUCGCUGUGAAGAUGCAGUGUACCCGCGGCAAGACGGAAAGACCCCGUGAACCUUUACUAUAGCUUGACACUGAACAUUGAGCCUUGAUGUGUAGGAUAGGUGGGAGGCUUAGAAGUGUGGACGCCAGUCUGCAUGGAGCCGACCUUGAAAUACCACCCUUUAAUGUUUGAUGUUCUAACGUUGACCCGUAAUCCGGGUUGCGGACAGUGUCUGGUGGGUAGUUUGACUGGGGCGGUCUCCUCCUAAAGAGUAACGGAGGAGCACGAAGGUUGGCUAAUCCUGGUCGGACAUCAGGAGGUUAGUGCAAUGGCAUAAGCCAGCUUGACUGCGAGCGUGACGGCGCGAGCAGGUGCGAAAGCAGGUCAUAGUGAUCCGGUGGUUCUGAAUGGAAGGGCCAUCGCUCAACGGAUAAAAGGUACUCCGGGGAUAACAGGCUGAUACCGCCCAAGAGUUCAUAUCGACGGCGGUGUUUGGCACCUCGAUGUCGGCUCAUCACAUCCUGGGGCUGAAGUAGGUCCCAAGGGUAUGGCUGUUCGCCAUUUAAAGUGGUACGCGAGCUGGGUUUAGAACGUCGUGAGACAGUUCGGUCCCUAUCUGCCGUGGGCGCUGGAGAACUGAGGGGGGCUGCUCCUAGUACGAGAGGACCGGAGUGGACGCAUCACUGGUGUUCGGGUUGUCAUGCCAAUGGCACUGCCCGGUAGCUAAAUGCGGAAGAGAUAAGUGCUGAAAGCAUCUAAGCACGAAACUUGCC